GCCUGGGUGGCUCAGUCGGUUAAGCGUCUGACUUCAGCUCAGGUCAUGAUCUCGCAGUCUGUGAGUUCAAGCCCCACGUCGGGCU
rnacentral:tRNA from 1 species